GGUCCGGCGCCGCGCGGCGGACGCGCCCCGAACCGGGUCAGGCCGGGAACGGAGCAGCCCUAAGGAGCGAGGUCCGGGUGCCGCGGUCGUCCGGGCCUCC
rnacentral:SRP_RNA from 1 species